GAAUACAGUCCGGGACAUUUCUAUUUGGACAUAAAAAAUUUGAAUUUUCUGACAUUUAUACGUAUAUUCAGCGUCUAUGUGAACAAAAAAUGUUCUCUCUCUCAUUCUAUGGUCCUUGAGCUUUAAUAACAGGGACAUUUUUUAAAUUGGUAGCAUUAGAAAAUGACAGUAAACAGCUGACUGAUGUAAACAAUAACACAAUAACAAAGGAAAUAGGAAGGAAAUGUUAUAAUUUUAAUCUAUAUAACCAGUGGCUGCUUUAAAAGUGUGUACUAACAGGAUAAUAAAAUAUUUACAUUGUAUGAUGAGACGGGAAUGGCACAACACAGAAUUGCAGUCAGUGAUUGUGCUGGAGAAAGCUGCUGUGACGUACUGACAGUACUGACUGUCGCUGGUUGUAUGAUUUGCGUAAUUUGUGAUAUAUUUUGUGUGAAAAACUGGAAAACAAAGUGCAUACCUGCAUAACCUCACUUAUCGCAGUUUUGCACAUUUUGAUGAUGGGAAUUGCGGUUCAAGUAAUUAUGAGUUAUAGAUGGAGCUCACUGUUUACUUCAAACUGAAGCCUUUUGGGUCCACUUUUUUCGUUGUUAUUUCCUGGUAGCGACUCUUGUUUCAAGCAGAAUGGGUGUAAAGUUAAAAAUAAUCCCAUAAAAUUGUUAAUAUAACUCCGUUGCACUGGCAUGGGGUAUUUGAAAACUUACGUUUAACAAAUACGUCACAAAGUCUCAGCCAUCGUCGAAAAACAUAAUAAGGGCUUUAUAACAACAAGCGCUUUCUGAUUUUACUGUGGACGUGUGGAAGAAUAGUGUGAAAUAUUGCGAAAAACCAACUUUUACUCUUGUUUACAUUUUUGUACGUCUCUAUCUGAGAGUAGUCGUCUUUUAUAAAAAAUAUA